rnacentral:snRNA from 1 species
GGUGCUCGCUUUGGCACCACUAAAAUUGGAACGAUACAGAUUAGCAUGGCCCCUGCGCAAGGAUGACAUGCAAAUUUGUGAGGUGUUCCAUAUUUUU